UCAGUUUCUCUCCAGACCUAACCUAACCUCUUUUAUAUGUCAUGUGGUAGUACUCUUCUUUUCUCGUUUUUUUUCAAAUAAGUGUUUAAGAACAAUAUAAUAUGACCGGGUUAAUCACCGACAACAUUGGUGCGAGUAAUAAGAAAUUUAAAUAUAUUGUACCUGCGUCUCUAAAGAACCUCAUCAAUAAAAGUGUAUUCACCAUCGACUUUUCAUACCGGAAUUUCAUGAACAUAUAUGAUUGGACCCAGUUGACCAUUUCAGCAUCGAGGUAUAAAUUAUUUCUUUAUCUAGACAUAUUUCAAUUUCAUCUGAUUUCCUACAUUGAAUAUUUUCUUUGAUGGACCAUAUUUUAUCGUACAUGUUAGUACCACGAUACAAAUGAACUGUUUUUUUGGUAACCGAAUUGAAACUACUAAAGAGUUUGGUAUAUUGCUAUGAGAACAUUUUGGAUGUAGAAGACACAAAUCAAAUUUCAUGUCGUAUAACAUGAACCGCUCGGAUCUUGUAACAUUGCAACAUGUGAAAUGGUGUAUAUUUGAGACUAUUAUACUAACAAAUACAAACAUACCUUGGUGAAGCCACAGUUCAAAUCGAUAUGUGCUUAUUUUUAAUGAGUUGAAAACGCAGAAAAAAGUAUUUCAAAUAUAAAUAACGCCAAUGAUGAAUUGAUUUUAUCUCAUUUACUGAAAAGCGUGAACAAUUUCAUGAGUCAGUUAAAACUGUUUGCUGCAAAGCAAUUGACUGACUAGUAUGGUGAAAUUUAAACUCAAGGAAGAUACAAGUUGUAAGGAUUUAUAACAAACAGACUUUUUUAUCUGAUGUCACCGAUGAUGUCGAUAGGCCAUAUCAAAAACAUACUGAUGAAAUCGAAGGAUCGAAUUUUUUAUAAAUCAAUUCAUACUCACCACACAAGUUUUCACAACCAAAAGUUGAUGAUAACAUAGUAUCUUUACCCCCCAAGCUACAAACAAGAACUCACCGUAGAUAAAAAUGAUGGACCAACCUACUUCAACAAAUAGUGUCAACAGCUCAACAAGUAUGGAAGUAACUUAAGCUUUUACUAAAAUAUUAGUAAAUCGCUCUCUUAUACUACUCCAACUAAACAAUGGUAAAUACUCUUGUAACAAAACAUUUGAUGCCUUAAGUUUAAAAUUAAGAAGUAUUCAACAUUUAGUACAAAAAAAGCGUGUAAUGUCAAAUGAUUUAAUCAAACCUUGUUAAGAAAAAUGUUUAGAUCUAAAGAGUUGCAGCUUAGAACUUACAGCUAGAGGUACAUAUGACUGACUAGGUUUCUAUUUAACUUAUGUUGAUAAACAUGUACAGUAAUUCAAUACAUACUAUUUUAUUUGUACAUUCUUAUGAUAUAAGUUAAUAAUCCACUUUUUAAUUUAAGUAUAGAAUUUUUUAUUUAAGAUUCUAUUUAGUUACACAGUUAAUGUUCACAUGAUCUAU